rnacentral:rRNA from 1 species
CCUACGGGGAGCAGCAGUGAGGAAUAUUGGUCAAUGGCCGGAAGGCUGAACCAGCCAUGCCGCGUGAAGGUCAGUGCCCUAUGGGCGUUAAACUUCUUUUGUGCGGGAGCAAUAAUGGUCACGUGUGGCCAGACGAGAGUACCGUACGAAUAAGCAUCUGCUAACUCCGUGCCAGCAGCCGCGGUAAUACGGGGGAUGCAAGCGUUAUCCGGAUUUAUUGGGUUUAAAGGGUGCGUAGGCUGUGAGGUAAGUCAGCGGUGAAAUGCCCCCGCUCAACGGGGUGAAGUGCCAUUGAUACUGCCUGGCUGGAAUGCGGAUGCCGUGGGAGGAAUGUGUGGUGUAGCGGUGAAAUGCAUAGAUAUCACACAGAACACCGAUUGCGAAGGCAUCUCACGAAUCCGCGAUUGACGCUGAUGCACGAAAGCGUGGGUAUCAAACAGGAUUAGAUACCCGUGUAGUC